rnacentral:rRNA from 1 species
AUUGAACGCUGGCGGCGUGCCUUACACAUGCAAGUCGAACGUGAAAGUACCUUCGGGUAUGAGUAAAGUGGCGCACGGGUGAGUAACGCGUGGAUAAUCUACCGGGAAGUUCGGAAUAACAGCUGGAAACGGUUGCUAAUACCGGAUACACUACAUAUAAACGUAUGUGGGAAAGACGGCCUCUGCAUAUGCUGUUGCUUUCCGAUGAGUCCGCGUACCAUUAGCUAGUUGGUGGGGUAAAGGCCUACCAAGGCGACGAUGGUUAACUGGUCUGAGAGGAUGAUCAGUCACACUGGAACUGGAACACGGUCCAGACUCCUACGGGAGGCAGCAGUGGGGAAUAUUGCGCAAUGGGCGAAAGCCUGACGCAGCGACGCCGCGUGAGGGAUGAAGGUCUUCGGAUCGUAAACCUCUGUCAGCAGGGAAGAACGGUCACUGUGCUAAUCAGCAGUGAAUUGACGGUACCUGCAAAGGAAGCACCGGCUAACUCCGUGCCAGCAGCCGCGGUAAUACGGAGGGUGCGAGCGUUAAUCGGAAUUACUGGGCGUAAAGCGCUCGUAGGCGGUAUGUCAAGUCAAGGGUGAAAUCCCCGCGCUCAACGUGGGAACUGCCUUUGAAACUGGCAAACUGGAGUGUGUGAGAGGAUAGUGGAAUUCCAGGUGUAGGAGUGAAAUCCGUAGAUAUCUGGAGGAACAUCAGUGGCGAAGGCGACUAUCUGGCACAUAACUGACGCUGAGGAGCGAAAGCGUGGGUAGCAAACAGGAUUAGAUACCCUGGUAGUCCACGCUGUAAACGAUGGAUACUAGGUGCAGGGGAGUAUUUUUCUGUGCCGUAGCUAACGCGUUAAGUAUCCCGCCUGGGGAGUACGGUCGCAAGGCUGAAACUCAAAGAAAUUGACGGGGGCCCGCACAAGCGGUGGAGUAUGUGGUUUAAUUCGAUGCAACGCGAAGAACCUUACCCAGGCUUGACAUCUAGGGAACCUAACAGAGAUGUUGGGGUGCUCUUCGGAGAACCCUAAGACAGGUGCUGCAUGGCUGUCGUCAGCUCGUGCCGUGAGGUGUUGGGUUAAGUCCCGCAACGAGCGCAACCCCUGUCCUUAGUUGCCAGCAGGUGAAGCUGGGCACUCUAGGGAGACCGCUUCGGUUAACGGAGAGGAAGGUGGGGACGACGUCAAGUCAUCAUGGCCCUUACGCCUGGGGCUACACACGUACUACAAUGGUGCAUACAAAGGGUUGCGAAACCGCGAGGUCAGGCUAAUCCCAAAAAAUGCAUCUCAGUUCGGAUUGGAGUCUGCAACUCGACUCCAUGAAGUCGGAAUCGCUAGUAAUUCCAGAUCAGCAUGCUGGGGUGAAUGCGUUCCCGGGCCUUGUACACACCGCCCGUCACACCACGAAAGUUGGUUUUACCCGAAGCCGAUGAGCUAACAGCAAUGAGGCAAUCGUCUACGGUAGGCCCGAUGAUUGGGGUGAAGUCGUAACAAGGUAGCCGUAGGGGAACCUGCGGCUGGAUCACCUCCUUUAAGAGCAUUCCAUUCGUUCUUCAAUCACAAUGCGCAAAGCGAUUUGCGGAUUGUCUGAAAUCCUGUAAAGAGACCACAUAGUGCAAACUUUGCAGGGGCUGUGAAGGUUUUGUUUGGCAUAGGGAAAUUUCGUCAGGUUUUCAUGAUAUUGAAGACCGGCUGAAAAAUCUGGAAGGUCACAACUGGAUAACUUCACACUUUUGCGCCGGUAUUUGCGUUUUAUGCGAGGAAGCUGAAUUUUUUGAGACGGGAGUGUAUCACGACAUACAUGACCGAGCAAAAAAUGAAGCAGACGAAGCAGAAAGGGCAAAGAUCAAGCAAAAAAAGGGCCUGUAGCUCAGGUGGUUAGAGCGCACGCCUGAUAAGCGUGAGGUCGAAAGUUCAAGUCUUUCCAGGCCCACCACAAAUCGGGGGCGUAGCUCAGCUGGGAGAGCAUCUGCUUUGCACGCAGAGGGUCGGGGGUUCGAUUCCCUUCGCCUCCACCAUUGAAACAAGUUUGGCAGAAGGAAUAAGUAGCCUUAUUAUUUUUAUCCGAAUUUGUUUCGGCAGUAACGUAAGUUACGGUUCUUUGACAAUUGAACAGAAAAAGAAGAAGACAAGUUUUUUUGAGACAAGUUAUUAAGAGCAACGGGCGGAUGCCUUGGCGCUGGAAGGCGAUGAAAGACGUGAUAAGCUGCGAUAAGCGUCGGUGAGGAGCUAAAUAUCCAUUGACCCGGCGAUUUCUGAAUGGGGAAACCCAGCCGGAGUAAUGUCCGGCUGCCGCAACAUGAAUGAAUAGUGUUGCAGGAGCUAACCUAGGGAAGUGAAACAUCUCAGUACCUAGAGGAAAAGAAAUCAAACGAGACUCCCAAAGUAGCGGCGAGCGAAAUGGGAAGAGGCCAAACCUGUAGGAUUCGUCCUAUGGGGGUUGUAGGGCUGACAGACGCAAUCUUUGAGUAGGUAGAAGAAGCUGGCUGGAAAGCCACACCAUAGGGGGUGAAAGUCCCGUAUUUGAAGCCGAAAGGGGUGCAGUCAGUCCCUGAGUACUGCGAGGCACGUGAAACCUCGUGGGAAUCAAGGAGGACCAUCUUCUAAGCCUAAGUACUAACCAGCGACCGAUAGUGAACC